rnacentral:rRNA from 1 species
UACGGGGGAGCAAGCGUUGUUCGGAUUUACUGGGCGUAAAGGGCGCGUAGGCGGCCACCGCAAGUCGACUGUGAAAUCUCCGGGCUUAACCCGGAAAGGUCAGCCGAUACUGCGGGGCUAGAGUGCAGAAGGGGCAACUGGAAUUCUCGGUGUAGCGGUGAAUGCGUAGAUAAUCGAGAGGAACACCUGCGGCGAAGGCGGGUUGCUGGGCUGACACUGACGCUGAUGCGCGAAAGCUAGGGGAGCGAACGGG